rnacentral:lncRNA from 7 species
GCGAGACCCGGUAUUGGAUUCCAAAUCCCACACUGACACACGAUGGCGAGAUAAGUUACAAGAGGUGAACCUCAAGUUCCAUGUUUGAAACUGCUUACUGGCUUUCACUAGAGGGAACACAUGUGUCAAUGUGUGGCAAGACACAAAUGACAAACCUAUAAACUAGAGCGUGCAAUAGGAAGCUCAAGUUGAAACACCAAGCUCAAACAUCUACAGUGACCAUGGGAUCCCAGUGUCCAGUGACGUGAUGAUCACUCUUUAUCUCGCAAUAUUGGUGCCUCAAGAAGCUUGCGAGGUAACUCUUCAACUUUCGAUUCUUAGUUUAUGACAACUGAUAGAAAUACACAAAUAAGGAGUUCUAUGAAUUCAGCGUGUCAGUACCAACCUGGGCAACAAAUAUAUAUAGGACACAAGAAUCAACAAACAUAUGGUAUCCUGAUGGCUUUGAGAGUAUCUUGGGAGCAAGCCACAUUCCCAGGUCCGCUGCAGUGCCCACUGGCCACUGCCCACCACCAGGAGCCCUCUUCUGCCUCCUUCCCUUGAGCUUCGCCGACUACGCGAUUCAGUGCGGGAUUCUGCAGGACUCGCCUCAUCCUUGCUGUGGCUAUGAGCAACUGCCGCCGCGAAUUCCACCAAAGCUCCGGCAAGAGAGAGGAAAAAAAAAAGACCAGUUGCCUUGGCCACAGGAAUUCUAGCCUAG